GGCCCGGCCCUUGCUGUGGCACCUGCGGUGGCGAUCAACGGCGAUCCCCCAUUCACACGACAAAGGCGUCGC
rnacentral:ncRNA from 2 species